GUAUCUCUGAGUAGUCUCAUUCUUCACUGAACACAACACAAAACCAAGAAUCCAAGACCAAGAAUAGCACAACACUUUUGACUAGAACUAAUAAGAGAGAUACUACACACUUAGCUCUCUCUUUACCAAAAGCUCAUAACCAAAAACAUUAAAAGAUAAACCCUUUUCACUAAAAAUCACAUUCUUGAAUCAUGAUGAUAUAGCAUUAUAAAAGCUCAUAUCUCCAACCUUUUAACUUUAAACCCACAAAGACUGAACCUCCCAAAUGUGGAUAAUCUCAUCAUCAUAUUAUAUAAAGGAAAAUGAACCACAAAAAGGUACAAUUUGGGUUUUACAAAGGUUCAAGUUUUUUCUUAAAUCUCUAAACAAUUUGGUACUAAUUAUUAUUAUUAUUAUUAAUUUGAUGCACAACAAACAGAGGGAUGAAAAAAGAAAAAGCAAAAAACAACAACUGGAACUAGAGAGAAAGAAGGCGGGGUAAAAAGGUCGGCAAAUCCUCGUCUAAUUUAUGGUUGAG
rnacentral:lncRNA from 1 species